rnacentral:rRNA from 1 species
GGUGAACGCUGGCGGCGUGCUUAACACAUGCAAGUCGAGCGAUGAAGUUUCCUUCGGGAAACGGAUUAGCGGCGGACGGGUGAGUAACACGUGGGUAACCUGCCUCAUAGAGUGGAAUAGCCUUCCGAAAGGAAGAUUAAUACCGCAUAAUGUUGAAAGAUGGCAUCAUCAUUCAACCAAAGGAGCAAUCCGCUAUGAGAUGGACCCGCGGCGCAUUAGCUAGUUGGCGGGGUAACGGCCCACCAAGGCGACGAUCAGUAGCCGGACUGAGAGGUUGAACGGCCACAUUGGGACUGAGACACGGCCCAG